rnacentral:rRNA from 1 species
UAAGGGCGCACGGUGGAUGCCUUGGCACUAGAAGCCGAUGAAGGACGUUACUAACGACGAUAUGCUUUGGGGAGCUGUAAGUAAGCUUUGAUCCAGAGAUUUCCGAAUGGGGAAACCCAGCAUGAGUUAUGUCAUGUUAUCGAUAUGUGAAUACAUAGCAUAUCAGAAGGCACACCCGGAGAACUGAAACAUCUUAGUACCCGGAGGAAGAGAAAGAAAAUUCGAUUCCCUUAGUAGCGGCGAGCGAAACGGGAAGAGCCCAAACCAACAAGCUUGCUUGUUGGGGUUGUAGGACACUCUAUACGGAGUUACAAAGGACGACAUUAGACGAAUCAUCUGGAAAGAUGAAUCAAAGAAGGUAAUAAUCCUGUAGUCGAAAAUGUUGUCUCUCUUGAGUGGAUCCUGAGUACGACGGAGCACGUGAAAUUCCGUCGGAAUCUGGGAGGACCAUCUCCUAAGGCUAAAUACUCUCUAGUGACCGAUAGUGAACCAGUACCGUGAGGGAAAGGUGAAAAGCACCCCGGAAGGGGAGUGAAAUAGAACCUGAAACCGUGUGCUUACAAGUAGUCAGAGCCCGUUAAUGGGUGAUGGCGUGCCUUUUGUAGAAUGAACCGGCGAGUUACGAUUUGAUGCAAGGUUAAGCAGUAAAUGUGGAGCCGUAGCGAAAGCGAGUCUGAAUAGGGCGUUUAGUAUUUGGUCGUAGACCCGAAACCAGGUGAUCUACCCUUG